rnacentral:tRNA from 1 species
UAAGAAAUAGGUAAAUAGGUAUACCUCAAACCUUUGAAAUUUGAAUCAAGAGUUCAAAACUCUUUUUCUUAA